CUCUUUUUCUGAAACAGACUUUGGGGACCUUGUCCAGUGCCUAUUCCCGAGGUUGGACCUUGCAAGUGUCCACGGUGGGCGGUGCCGUUAUCAUCUUCCAACACUUGCCUAAUUAUGGAGCUAUUGGGAAAGAAAGAUGUUCACUCUGACCAAAGCCUUGGAAAAGGCUCUUCUCCAGCAUUUCAUAUACAUGAAGGUGAACAUCACCUAUGCCAUCAACAAGCCAUUCCCCUUCUUCGAAGCGCUCCGGGACAAAUCCUUCAUCACUGAGAGAAUGUACAAGGAAUCUCUGGAAGCCUGUCAAAAUCUGGUCCCUCUGUCCAAAGUGGUGCACAAUAUUCUCACCAGUCUGGAGCAGACUUUCCACCCGUCAGUGCUGCUGACGUUGUUCAGCAAGGUCAACCUCCGGGAAUACCCCAGCCUGGUGGCAAUUUUCAGAAGCUUCAGAAACG